rnacentral:rRNA from 1 species
GUCGAGCGGACAGAUGGGAGCUUGCUCCCUGAUGUUAGCGGCGGACGGGUGAGUAACACGUGGGUAACCUGCCUGUAAGACUGGGAUAACUCCGGGAAACCGGGGCUAAUACCGGAUGCUUGUUUGAACCGCAUGGUUCAAACAUAAAAGGUGGCUUCGGCUACCACUUACAGAUGGACCCGCGGCGCAUUAGCUGGUUGGUGAGGUAAUGGCUCACCAAGGCAACGAUGCGUAGCCGACCUGAGAGGGUGAUCGGCCACACUGGGACUGAGACACGGCCCAGACUCCUACGGGAGGCAGCAGUAGGGAAUCUUCCGCAAUGGACGAAAGUCUGACGGAGCAACGCCGCGUGAGUGAUGAAGGUUUUCGGAUCGUAAAGCUCUGUUGUUAGGGAAGAACAAGUACCGUUCGAAUAGGGCGGUACCUUGACGGUACCUAACCCAGAAAGCCACGGCUAACUACGUGCCAGCAGCCGCGGUAAUACGUAGGUGGCAAGCGUUGUCCGGAAUUAUUGGGCG